rnacentral:lncRNA from 1 species
CAAGGAAGACUUCACCCGAACUCCUACGGGAGUCGGGUUCCGCCUGCAAGGAAGACUUCAGCCGGACUCCUACGAGAGUCGGGCUCCAUCCACGACUUCUGCAGCAAGGGUUAAUGGUGGCGAAACCUGGCCGGCUAACAAGAUCAGAUGAAAGGAAAAAGCCUCCUCCCAACGAUGUCAACAUCAGGCAAGUCAGAUGGCAAGAAAGGUUCGGCAGACAGCGAUAUUAGUGCAGCGCACGGACGAGGUAACGUAAAAUGCUCUUUUUAUUCCAUUUUCGAUAUACACACUACAAAGCCAAGAAGGCCAAGGAAAGAAGGGCAAAACGACAAAAAGGAAGUAACUACAUGAUAAGACAGAAAGGCAAAAAGAGCUCUAAGGAGGCCCUGCUCCCUCCGACCUAGAGUUAUCUAUUCCGUCCCUCAACCAGGACUGCCUCAGAUUCUCUAUUUCUCCUUCUAGCUCUUCCCUCUUCCGCAGCGCGUCCUGGAGCGCCCGACGAAGUUGCUGGCUCUCAGCCUCCGCUUCUCGAUGCCUCUUCCUCAAAACUUCGGACUCCGCCUCCGCGUCUGCAACGGCCCGCCACUCAAGUGCCAGUUGGAUCUUCACUUGUUGCAGCUCGGCUGUCUUCUCCCCGAGGGAGACAGAAAUCCCUUCAACAGUGCCUCUCAGGGCUUGGAGCUCUUC